rnacentral:snRNA from 1 species
AUACUUACCUGGUGUGUGUGUGUGGGGGGGGGGGGGGGGGGGGUUACGGGAUCAUUGAGGCGGAGCCUCUAGGGCGAGGCGCAGCCAUUGCACCUCGGCUGUGCUGACCGCUGCCUCUUUCCCAAGCAGGGAUAGAUGAAGCAUAGAGAUAUGUUAAUAAUAGGAGAUCGGCGUUCGAGCUAUCUCGUC